UGUAGAAAUGGAACUAAUCCUUUAUUUUACCUGGCAACAUUAUCACAUUUUUGACGUUUGUGAAGUUUUAUAAAUAGUGUCGGUGUUGUCUUUUUAUUAAAAUUUUGCAAUAAGAACAAGAAGAUACUAUUCGCGAUACAAAAUGAAUAAGCCGCGAAUAAUAAGGUUCGCGAGAGAAAUUAUAUAUAAUACUUUUACCGACCAUGUCUAGCUGAACAAGAAGCAAAAACAAUUCUAUCGGAUCUGGAAGCAUAUGUGAGUGCGUUUCAAGACAUAACCGAAGAUGAUUGGAAAAUCUCAUGUCAACAUGUAAGAAAAAUUUAAAAUGACUAUUACAAGAGAGAACAUACCCUGUAAGAGGACAUUGAAAGAAUUAUAAUAAAUCUUAAAGAUGACAGUAGUAGUUCUUCAGAAUCACAGGAUGACUGUCCAGCCAGCUCCAGUCAUGAAAAUAUGGACAUUGAUUUUACUGAAAUACAAUAUUUGGAAGAAAGUUUUUGGUUUUAUUUGUUUUUAAGUAAAAUGCCACAAUUCUGAAAUGAUUUCUCAAACUUAAAACAUGACAUACUCUAAUUAAAUUUGAAUACAAUGGCAAAUGAUUUACCAGUUUAUAGUUUUAUAUUUUUAUUAUAGAUAACAAAUCACAUUUGUCUGGCUAAUUUUACAAAAGUAACACUAUGUACAAAUUAUAUUAUAAAUUACGAAUGGAAAGAGUAGUAAAUUUUUCCUCUUCUCAUAGUUGCCAAAUACAUGCGGUGGCCGAAUCUGAAAAUCAUCAGCCAUGGAACUAGGCUGACCAUUGCUCUACGUACAAUAAUUUAUUGCACUACUGUGCAAUAAAUUAUUGUACGUAUAAGAACUACUGUUCUUCAGUAACCUUGGUUUCAAAAUAUUUCAUCCAUAGUGUGGAAGCUUUGUAUUAGCUAAAAUCUGAAAUAUUGCAAUCUAAUGACCGGAAUAAAAAUUUUGGUGUUGACUGCGAGAUCCAAGAGGAGAUCGCAUAUCUGAAUCCAACCACUGAUACUUUCAGAGACAUAAUUGCGGACACUUCUUUACCAAUGAUUACGAGACAAGCAAUACAGGAAUAUUUUGAAAGUUAUGUACCCAUAUGUAAUGAUUAUAAUCUUAGGCAGUUGUUUACAAAGAUGACAGUGUAAAUUUUAUGUAUUUAAAUUGGUAUACCUACACUCAUAUAUCAUGAUAUCUUGAUAACAUUAUAUUAUAUUUUCUUACUACAU